UUGAUUUUGUAUACGUAAAUUCUUAUCUCUUGGCUCAACAUAUUUGCAUAUUUCUACGUGACUAAUCAUCUUGAGAUGGUAUGUAUAUGUACCUAUCUGCAUUAGAUGUCUAGUUUAAAGCGAACUUAUUAAACUUUAGAAGAAUUAUGUCUUUAAUAGCUGGUGGAUUUAAUCGAAUUAAUACUUACCGUUUUAAGCAAUGUUUUCAAUUAACUUCCUUACUCCAAUAACGCGAUUCAUUUUACUUAAGCUAUCUUAAAUGGAUUGAAAUUAAAUAAUUUAAACUUGGGAGUCUCGUUUGAAGAUUCUACGUGGUGCUAAAAAUUAUGUAUAAUAUUUUCUAACGUGCGCUCAUACUUAUUUGUUACGCAAUUCGGGCGUUCGCAAGGUAUCUUAUUAAAUUAGAUAUAAUAUAACAUUAAAAGAAUUAUGUUAGAGUAACCAAAAUACAUUUCAAUACCAUAUAGUCGAGUAAUCUCAAUUAGACCUGAAUAUAAUGUUAGUACCCGAGUCAAAUUGACACACUAGGAAAUCGAAAGACAUGUAACUUUGUUUUCUCUCUAAAAUAAUUACCUUAAUUAUGGGAACUGGGGAUCGAUUGGAGUGAAAUGAAAGAAAAAAGACCUUAACGCACACCAAAUUUUUUUUUUUUUUUAUUAACUAGAAUAAUUUAUUUUUUUCAUGGUAGAAAAAGGAGAAUGUAUCUUAACUCAUGGACUGCAUUGUACUCAUAUAUAUACAAUUACAUACAAUCCUCAAUUGAAUGUUACACGUAAAUUCAUUAUAAAUUGAUUUCUUAUUAUUUUUCCUUAUCUUCUGUGUGUUCUGCGUGGAUGUGUGUAUGUGCAUGUAAACGUUCAGGACCCGAAAGAAAUACAACUGUUCUGCUUUGUUCACUGCUCGGAAUAAUUAUAAAAAGAGGCCUGUCACACUUCCACUGUGUCACACGGCGUUUCGCGGAGGGGGAAAAAAAUAGCUUUGAGUGCAAAUUUUACAUUUCUUUUUUUUUUUCUUUAAAAUCCGUGUUUUACUGCUUUUUCCGCGAAGUCUGCUUUUGUAUUUUCGUUCGUAUGAGGGAGAUGAGGGUAGGAGGGGCCAAGAGAAAGACAGAGAAAUAGCAGGUUUGAUGGCAGAGUUUGCGGGGAUGUAUAAUGGUCGGAAAUGAGGGAAGAACAAACAAGAAAUUCUAAAUGGAAGGUGUAUACAAAGUAUCGGUGGUGUAGCUUGGAAACAAAUAAUACGUGGAAAUGACUUUGUGAAAAUUUUGUUCGUGGUUCGUUCGAACGAAAAUUAGGAGAACCAGGUGUCGUGUGGGCGCGCGUCGUGUGCGUGUGUAUGUGUGCAAGGAUGAAGAAUGAUACGGAAAUAGGAAUUGAAAAAAAAAAAAAAAUAAGAAAGAUGGGAAUGUUCUCAGGUCUCUCGUUCUGUUUCUUUUCCACGGAAAUUCUUGUUCUCGGACCGUAGGAACCGUUCCUCGAGAUGGAAAUUUACGAAACGUAACGAAAAAGAAAAGGAAAUCAAAAAUGCAGACGAUCGUCGUUUCUGUCUUUUCCGUUUCCGUUUACCAUUGAUCGACGAGUUUACCGAAAGAAAAAUUAAAAAUAAAAACACGAUCUUUGCACUGGCUACUCUUCGCUCUUUUUUUCCAUCUCCUUGCUUUUUUGUUCUCUUGUUUCCUGACUCGCGGUGAAACGUCCUAGCUGGGUGUUUUUCCCCUUUCAGCUCGGGAAACCUAUCGAUUUUCGAUUCCUCGUACUUCAUUUUUCUUUGACUGUUUAGCAUCUAAACGCAUAGUACACCUUACGAACAAACUUAAUAAUGAAUCAAAAGAAAAAAAAACGAAUCAAGAAAAAGUCCUCUUUGUCUCCUUGAAAUCUACUCGUGAAAAGUGUUAUUCAUUUUCUUUUUUUUUUUGCUUGCUUACGGUAUCGUUCACUUUAGUUUUUUUUUUUUUUGACGUUUUGUAUUUAAUUCACUCGUUUUAAUAAUAAUAUUCAUAUACUGUUCUCCUUAAUAGCUUCUUCUUUCAUCUUUUCUUUUUUAUCUGUUUAACGCGCUUACAUUCAAAUAGACUUUUAUUAGAGUUUACACAGUUAAUAAAAAUUUGUGUCCGAUUAUUUUACUUAUUUUUCCUUUUAAAAUCUGUCUCUCGCUGCGUUUUUAAAUCGUUCGUUUUGUUUUCUCGUUUUCACCAUUACUCCAUUCCACGCAUUCUCUCUCUCUCUCUCUCUCUCUCUCACACACACACACACGCACACACACACACUCUCUCUCUCUCUCGCUCGCUCUCUCUCUCUCUCUCAUCUAUAAUAUUACUUUUAUUUAUUUACGUUUUAUUAUUAUUACUUUUUUUUCACGUUUAAUUAUCAUGUGAGGAAUUGUUUUACGUCGAGCGUGUUGCUCGUCUGAUGGAUCACUGUGGUGCAUCCUCGCUCACGCGCGCGCUUCGCGUCGAUUUCUCGCUCUUCGUUCCCCUUGUGUGUUUUUCCUUAAUCGUAAUAAUUAUUAUAAUAAGAGUAAUAAUAGUAGUCGUAGUAGUAGUAAUAGUAGUAGUAGUAAUAGUAGUAGUAGUAGUAUUUAAUAGUAAUCAAAAGCGACAAAUUUUGCUGAGGGACGAAGGGAAGGAAGCGGAUAUCGAAAUUUCGUUUUCUCUUUUCGCUCGAAAGUAGGCAGAUCCAAAAGUUGACUCUCGUCUAGAUUUUCCACAAAUUUCACGCUUAUCUUUUCUCUUUUCCAUAACAACAAUUUUGAAUGCGCGAACAAAAAGGAGUGUUCGCGCGCGUUAUCACCCGAAAAGGAAAGCGACGCUGGACGGGCGCGUGAGCGUUACAAAGAAUUCAAAAAUAAAAGACGCGCCGCACGUAAUCGGCGCGGCGUCUCGCCCGAAUUUUCCUGUAUCUUUUUGCUUUUUUCGUUCUCGAGCGCGAGUCGAAUUAUUUUCCCUUUUAACGUAUCCGUUUAUUUUCUUAUAUUUCAACGUUUCUUUUGUUAUCCUUGAAAACCAUUCUUCCUGCGUCAUGAUGUCAAGUCAUGGUGUAUACAUGUCGGAUGAUGAUGAUGAAAUCGUCGGUCAUUAUUACUUUUACAUUUUCUUCUUCGUUUCAAAAUAAAAAAAGAAAAAAAAAAAGAGACAAAAAGCAACACAACGGCAUUUCUACUAUUCCCAUUCUAUUUUAACGCUAAAUAUGUAGGACAAAAAACUAACAGAUUUCGGCAUAAUAACAAAUCGUCGUCUACCGAGCCCGAGACGCGUCGCGAGCGUAGCUCCGCGGAACGAACCAUCGCGAGGAAUCCCAGCUUUUCGGGGACUUUGUAUAACUUCUCUCGCGCUCGUUCUCGUUCGUUUUUAUAUUUAUAGUUUUCUUUAUAUUCUCCACACUCGAGACGCUCUCGAGCGAUUCGACGCGACGAAAUAUAACAGGUUGUCGGCUCUGACGGCUGUCGUUUCUCACUUCUCAUGGACAGUUUCCCCUAGGUGACAGAUAUUUUCCGCCGAUCUCCACGACCCCGUUUAGAUUCUCAGCGAAAAAAAAUAUUCGUCCGUGGUUCUCGCGCAGAAAUAAAAUACAUUUAUAUCUCUGAUCGACGACCAGUUUUACCAGUCAUCAAAAAGUUUCCUCUUCGGGUCAAUUUCUACGAUUCGAAAAAGAAACAAACGAUUAUUGCUCCUACUUGUUACCUUAGCUCUUCCAAGAUCGCAGUCGAAUGAUUUAUAUUAUAUCCUUUCUCAUAUCGUAGAAAUUGUACCGAAAAGAAGUCCUGGAAAGGAGACCUGUGCGCAUCACAUUCACGAAUGUUCGCGCGUCUGCACGAAGACUGGUGACACGAGCCGCGUUUAUUGUUGUUACGGUGAUACGUGAGGAUCUGGCAGUGACGCGUUUACAAUUUGAGGAAAUGGCGAACACAUACUAUUACAUUCGACGCUGGCAAAGAUGACAAUCGAAAACGGUGAUUCCAAUUUACAGAGAUGGGCAAACUUGAAUCCAAACGAUAGCUAACGUAUUCCAAUUUUCAUUCGAGUCACGGAUAAGGUAACUUUCGAGCGUUGUGUGAAAAGCUUCGAACAUACUUUCGCCCAUUUCUGUAUCCUGAAAUUGACAUAGUAUUUCCUCGUUCGUCGAGCUUCGUGUCCGACCAGAUCUUCGAAGACGCUGUGGGGAACGCAGACAUGGUCACGGAAAACGCGCAAGAGGAAUCGAGUCCCCGAGAAAUGAGAAAUUCCAACAACUUCACACUAUAUACAUCCAGAAGGGAGAGCCUCAUUCGCGUCGACGGGCGACCAGCGAAUACGCGAAAAAUAAAUUGCAGCUCCGUUUUGGUCGAGCCUCGACGCCGAAUAUGGACUCUCAGCCCUCGACAGAGCUCGCAAACACAAUAAUUCUAUUUCAUAAUUGUUUUAUCAUCACUAUUUCACGUUUAACUAUUUCCUAUUGUGUAUGAAAGGGGAGGGGGUUUGGGGGCGGGAUUUUCUGGGGGGGCUCUUCUGCUCGAUUAAACUGUCGCGAUGUUUCCUUACGGUUGCUGUACGUUUCUCUCAAUCUCUCUCUUUUUAACCAGCAAACCGUCCCUCUAUUUGUUGCUUCCCAAACUCAUCCACGUCUCGUCGUCGAAACGAGCCGAAAGAAACUUGGAAAACGGUUCGAACGAAAAGAAACCGUGAACGCUGCGCAUCGAUUGAUCGAUAACAGCGCAAUUGUUCGAAGCUGUCAACGAAAGAGAUCCAACAGGAAAAAGAAAACGAUCGACGCGAUGGGUUAGCUGGUUUGCUUCCAUUAUCCGCGCCUUAUCACGAUCGAACAGAAAUUCCGUGCGCGUUCGAAUAUUAUUUUGCAACGUGAUUUGGGAAGAAUUAUUUUAGAAGAAAAAAAACAACAAUACAAAAAGUUAUUCCGGCAACCGAAACGUGGCAUAUCGUCUAUUGAUCCCUCUCUGAUACGUUCCCUGUAUCCUCUCAUCAUCGCUUAAUUAUUGUUCCAAUCUUCCUGUCACUGGAUAAGACUACUUUUUUUCUGCGUUAAUUAUUGUUAAUAUGCAUGUAAUUAAGGUACGGUGUGUUAUCUGCUUGUAGCUCUGAAAUUUGCGAGGUAGUAUUGUGUGGGGGGCGGGGCGACGACGCCCUUAAAAAUUCCCGUGUUGGUGUCUAUUGUAACAACUAUUGCACUUAAUGAUUUGUAUCGAUACGUCGACGCGCUAACCGUCUCGUCGACGGCGCGCGUCGAUCAUGUAAAAAUGUACUGCGUAUAUCGUUCAACAGCGACGUUCAUUAUUCGUAAAAAAAAAAUUAAAAAAAAAAAAAAAAAACAAAAUUGUCGGAGAAAAAGAUCGAAGAAAGACUCUUGUUGGACACUCUGCGAACAUUGUUAAAAUCUUACUAUACGUUAUUUAAUAAUAGGUACCUAUAAAUGCCAUUCGGUUUCCGUAUUGUUACGUCUUUCUUUCUCUCUACACAUCGUUACUCUUCGCAUCCUUAUGCGUUAAUCUCCUCUUCCAUCAUUCACGUGUCACUGUUCUAACUAAUUCUCCCUUUUUCUCGCUCUAUCUAUUUGUAUCUCUUUUUUCCUCUGCGAUACUAUUUUAUAGCUUAAAAACAAAGAAAAAAUUGACAAAAUAUAUAUGACGUAUUACGGUGUAGAGAUAUAUAAAUAAUAUCUAUAUAUAUAUAUAUUUAUUUAUAUAUAUAUAUAUUUAUAUUUAUAUUUAUAUGAUAUAGCUUUCUAUGGUAAAUCUGGUUCGUUUAAUAAACUCUUAAACGGCUUAUUACAGGCGGAGAGAAUCGGUCCACUUUCUCUACAUCAUUUUUCCUUCCUUCCGCGUAUUCCUUACGUAUCUAUUUCCGGUUAUCGUUACCUCUCGUUUUUUCUUCUUCCUGCGACCUGUUCUUUCUAUUUAUACGUAUUCGUCCUGUGUAUGUUAUGUUCAUAUAUAUAUUUAUACAUUCGUAUACGCGUGUGCAUCAUAUGCAAUUGCUGUGUUGGCGGUGUGCUGACGGAUUUCUCGCUCGGAAAAGAUGCGCGUUCGCGCGUGUCGAUCUAUGAUGUGUGCACGUGAACCAAGAAAAAAAAAAAUGUAACAUCACAGCUUCCAUUUCGUCUUAUUUUCCGUUUACACGCACGGCUCUAUUUCUUCCUUUCAUGUCACUUCUAUUCUCCCUUUCCCGUCACGCUUUCAUCAUUAUUCUCUUUCGUUCUCUGAUCCGUUAUUCUCUUCGUAUGUUCUCCGAUUCUCGUUGAUCGAUCGGUUUCUUCUUUCGGUCUUUUCUUUCGUUUCCAAAUGAUACAGGCCAAUUCCUCACGUUCAUCUACUAAUUUUAAAACCAAACGCGUUUAGCGGGUGCUCUCCCUCCAGGAGAGAAACGAGAAAGUUUUCUUCCAUUUCUUUUCAUUUCCUCCACCAUCUCGAAACGUUGAAAAUUUUGAAUUUCUUUCAUUUUCUUCAUUGAUACGAUCCUUUCGUCGAAAUUGCCGAAAAACCUCGAGAAAAUGUGUGCGUGCGUUUUCUCCCUUUCCUGGGCCGAGUGGAGAACUCCAACGAGCAGAAAUUUGGCGUCUGGAGGGAAGCGGCCCGCUAAAUAAUUAUUUUUCCUGCCUUACAUGCCUAUGUACUUUAACCUCUAUGCUUUGUGUACUUAAUGAUUAUCCAUAUAGUAUGUAGUUUAAACUUUAAAUAUUAUCCACUAAAAACACCAUAGAUUUUUCUUCUCUCCCUUCUCGAUCGAAAAGCAUUUUAUGCGCCGUAUGUGUACGCGUGUGUGUUAUGUACGUGCGCGUGUAUGUGUGUAUGUUCGUGUGAGAGGGUGAAGUUUGAAAAGGUUAGCAAUUCGACCGAUUAAAAACAAAAAAAAAAAUAAAUACACGAUAAUAUAGAAUUUAUCGAUUCUACCAAAGCCAUAAUAUAGUAAAAGAAAACAAAGAAAUUACCCGGGGAAAAGAUGGAGUUAAAAAGAUAAUAUGUGCCGAAUAAUAAUGAUAAAACAUAGAACAACAACCGAAAUCCCGAGGAAAAGAACUGAAACGCGACGACGCAACAAAUUUUUCUGUCGGAGUUUAACGCGGAAAGAGCGAUUGCUUAAAAAAAAAAAAAAAAAAAAAAAAAAAAAAUAAAUCGUUCGAUAGAAAACUCGCAACAUUUUUCUAUUUCUGAAAUUUCUUUUCUCCCCUCCCCCCUCGAUCUACGUCGACCUCCCGUUAUUUUUUUUUUCUUUUUCUAGUGCCUUCGCAUGCAAUUCAGAAACUCGGUUAUCCUACCACUGUGUCGAUUUCAUACUCGCGAUUAGCAAUUUUAUAAUACAAUUAGAAUUAUCGUUAUUAUUACUAUCAAGAUUAUUAUUAUUAUUAUUAUUAUUAUUAUUAUUAUUAUUAUUAUUAUUAUUAGUAUACGCCAUAUCUUAUUAAACCGUUUCCUCUUUUUGUUUCUCGUCCGUUCGCCAAAAAUAUCGAUAGUUACCAGCGAUCGUUUCACGUUUCCGCUCGAGUAAACAUGUAUCCUUCCCCAAUUUCCAAAUUCCAGAAAGCAAACAAAAAAAAAUAAAUAAAAACCAAAAAAGAAAACACACCGGAGGUAUUGACAAUAUAUCGCGUUAAGUGUAUCGAACGAUGGCAAAAAAGAAAAGAAAAAUUUAGGUAUGAAAUCUUUACUUCUGGUAGCUAUCAUCUCGAAAGUACGAGUUCCUCGGACCAAGAAAAAAGAACGAGUUUUUUUUUUUGUAUUUUGUCGUGUAUGCAUCUCAUACGGAAUUCACGAAUAUAGCAAAAAAAAAAAAAAAAUCAUCAAAUCAUCGAAGACACAAAAAUACAUAGCGGUAGUAGUAGUAAUAGAUAGUAAUAGUAGUAGUGUAGUAGUAAUCAUAUAGUAGUAAUAGUAGUAAAGUAUUUGAUAGUGGUAAGCGAUUAUAUAGUAGAAGUUUUUUUUUUUUAUAGUAGAAUAGUAGCAAUUAAAAUAAACUAAAGUAGACAAAAAAUGAAUUAAUUACGGUGAAAUUAUCGUAAUCAUGGGGGGCUGGCCUUCGUCACGCCUCGUCCAUCGAAAACCGUGCGCAAAUUUCGCGAAACUGAUUCCUUCUUUUUUUUUUUUUUUUUUUUGUAACGCGUCAGUUUCCAUUACUUUUCUCCUCGAUUUUUAUCAACACCCUCUUUGUCUCUCUUAGUCAAUGAUCGAACCGGAAAUACAAAUCGAGACGGUCGGAGUGACGAAGGGUGGCGAGCCCCGCGGUAGCGCAAAAAUUAAAACAAAAAAAAAAAAAUUAUUAUACCCAACGUAGCGAGUGCGAAGCAAAUGCAAGCGCGGAGGUUGUCUCCGUCGGCAAUGCGCAACCUCUAUAUUUAUUAUUUAUUCAAGAAAAUUAGUGUUUUCCAUUUCAAGCACGUGUGUUAUCAUCCAAGAAGUAACAUCUUGUGUCGCUUGUUUUCUUGCUUUAUGAUCGACAUAUAUAUGUAUAUAUAUUUCAUGUUUUGCAUUUUAUUAAUUCGUAGUCCUUCCCUCGAUUCGUCUGCUCGAAUAUUUAUCGUAUCUUUUUUUUUUCCACUUACUUGUUUUUCUUUUUCUUUGCAGCGACCUGGUUUCGCGCAAACGGCGUCGUGUGCCGUUCUAUUUUAUUUUUCAUUGUUUCCGUUGCGUGAUUAUUUUAAUUAUUUUAUUAAGUCCGUUAUGCGUGCAACCAUCGUACAUAAUAUGGAUGUCCGUUUCUUUCUUUCUUCCCGCCUGUUCACUUCUUCUCUUCACUCGUCCUUCGUUAAACGUCACACACGUUAUUUCUCCUAUCAUCCUCGGUCUACGCUUUCGUGAUUAAUCCCAUACCAUCCUCGGCGUGCGUAUAAUAAUGUACGUAUAUUUAUAUAUUUUUACAUAUAUAUAUGGCAUGCGUGUGUGUGUUGCGGGCUGCGUAGAUAUAUUUUUCUCUAUCUCUUGCGCUUGGUGCGUGUACAUGUAUAACGAUUGUUUUGGGGGUUAGAAGUGGCACCGACUUCUUUUUCUUCUUUAAUUAAUCCCGUUGUUACUCUCUAUGCUCUAACGUAUAGAAUACACAAUAUAAAAACGAAUAGCUGUCCACUCUUCGCUGUCGAACUGAUGAUGACGAUGACGAUUGUCGAUAAUCUCUCCGUUUCCAUAAGCAAGAUCCGUCUACCUUCUCGGUUCCAUCGCGUUACCCGUUCGUACAAGCACGUUUCUUGACGUUUCCAAUACUCGGUCCCGAGAAAAGCACAAUUUUUUGCCUACUCACGUUCGUUACGAAAGGUUCUCAUCUGGCUGUCAAGGUGGACCUAUCGUUCUUUGGUCGAGAACGAGUCCUGGCGAGCAAAGGAUAAUAAAUUAGAAUCUAUCUUCGCAAGUUGCGUGGCUAACGUGGUCCCGCGAUCGGCAAGCUGUUCAAAGUUGUCUUGCGUCGCCAGGAUGUACAUCGUGCAUGCUCAAGUCGAGCUUUUGACCUGACCGUACGCUACCAGUUUCCCGUGAUUUUUCGAAUGUACUUUUCGUUCCAACGAUCUUGUUCUCUGGGUGGCUGGGUGCCUCUUGGUGUCCUGUGUGCGUGCGUAGGAUAUGUAUCUGUGUCCUGCGUGUGUAACAAAAGUGGUGUACGUGCGUGUGCGGGUAUACAUGGGUUAACAGAACGACAUUCACGAACGUGGAUAUGUCGUUGCGAAACAAAACGUGUAAAUCGAACAGGAAAACGAAGAACGCGUAUAAACAUCUGUAUAAUUAAAUUGUAAAAAUAAAAAAAAAAAGAAAUAGAUAAAAUUACCGCGCCAACAAAGGAACGCGAAACUAACGAAUCAACGGGCGAUAAAGGACAACCAAAUAAAAAGAUUUAAAACCGAGCUUCUCACAGGAUCAGCGAACAAUACUUAUACCCUAAAACGACGCACAAUGACUCCGUGGCUUUUAAAUCAGCCCGUCUCCCAGGGAUAGCAAGGGAAACGCGAGCAACUAUGCAUAUACGAAUCUCCUCUUUCUUUUUUCUUUUUUCUUUUUUUUUGUUUUUGGUAUGUUUUUCACGUGUUUUUUUCUUUUCUGCUCGCGUUAUCCAUCGCUUAUCCGAGUGGAAACCAGAGAUGGGCAAACUUCAACUGGAACAGUAUAGUACAAUAUUUUUAUACAUUUUCAUUCGUAAUUGUAGAGCUCAGAUUGCAAUCGUCGUCGAACGAACGAAGGAUAAAGUUUCGUUUAUCCUUGAUUCGUUAUCGAGAAAUUUUGUCCGUGAUGCCCAUCUCUGAUAAGGCGCGAACUUGUUCCGCGCAACUUGUAUCGGGGGUAACGAACGAACCGAAAAGAAACUUCCUUUUCCACUGUACCACCGUUCAUCCUGUAACAUGUUUCCCAGGUUGAACGUGUGCCUCGUUUUUUCCCACCCGUCUAGUGUGUGUAGACAUUCCAUCUCGAUUGGCCGAACUCCCGGAAACGGCUAUUUUGGGUUUUAGUAUUACUCAUAUCUCGUGUCCCAACUCGCGACUGGGUUUCUCAACACAGGUGAGAGCACCGAUAUGACAGCACACCGAAGCUCUCUGAACACCAACGACACUCGACUUCCUCUUUUCCUUUCGUUUUUUUUGUCCCUCUUUUCAUCUUUAUCGUCUCUUCCUCUUUCAUCUUUAACUCGCGCGACCGUUCGCGUCUCGUCUCGCUGGCAGUGUGAGAACGAUUUGUUGCCGUUUGAUCGAGGAUUUCAUCGAUCCGUGGGAUCGUCGAUGAUUGAACGACACAGCUAUCGGUUCUAUGUAUAAACGUAGCAAAAUACGAGACGAGCACGACGACGGCGCGGCGAUAUCGAUCGUCGAAAUCUUUUAUCUUCUAUAUUUAAAACGGAGAAAACAAAAACAAAAAAGAAAAGAAAAGAAAAACUGCAGCAUAUAUAUAUAUAUAUAUAACGACGCUCGCGCACCUAAACAAGAAACACUUCAUUCGCUCUAAUCACGCAUACGCGACGAACGGUUCUAUUUUUCACGGGUUUUUUCCUUCUUUUUUUUUUUUUUUGCGUCAUCUAUAAUCCGGUGCACAUCGACUAUAAUCUGUUCCGUUAAUAAGUUUAAGCUUUACAUAUAAUAUAUAUCUAUGUACAACAAGUGUAUAGUGUAUAUAUGUGUUUACUAUAUGUAUACAAGGUCUUCUGGGGGAGGGGAGGGGGGUUGGGGUUUUUCGGGGAGUGUAAAUGCAGUGUAGAGAAUAAGUUACAUACCCGCGCGGUUUUCUCAUAAUGCCCAUUAUUGGCAACAAUAGGAUAAUAAUAGAUAAUAUAUUAAGACUUCGUCAAAACGCGUCACCAACUCUUACUCUCGUUUCUCUCUCGUUUUGUUUUCUCUUAAUCUGUCUCUCACUCUAGCUUCCUAACUCCGUUUAGAUCACCUUACGAUUAGAUUAUGUUUCAUUCCGUCUUCCAUCUUUCAUCGUCCCAUUCUCUCGGCAUUCGCUCUGUAGUCGCACAUUCACACGCUUUCUCACCCUUUCGCGAACCAUUAUCGUCCACUGAAGCGCCACGCCCUAAGCUUAUCCGAUAUAUUAUCUGUUUAGCGAUAUCACUUGAACCUGUCACAUUAACAAUGCCCAACUGUAUACAAUAAGGCCCUCGUUUACCGCCGCGUACUCGGUUCAGAACCGUUUCCCUCGGAUCCAGAAUACGAACUUUCAGCCCCGUGAUCACGAUCACGCGAGACGUCGACUGAUCACAGUGCUGCACCCGAGAGAAUUCGAUUGAAUUUAAUUAACUUCUUCGGACUAUUAAUGGAACGUGAGAUUUAUAUCAACUUUAGGACUCGAUAAUUUUACGAUAUUUGGUAUCGGUGUAUCCAGAUAAAUUUUGUUAUUUAAUGAAUUAAUCUGUCGUUGGAGAAACAAGAAUUUAGAUCAUCCCUGUUCGAGGACCAGUCGACACCUCCCGUAUCCGGGCGCGUUUCGUUUCCGCGAGACGUUUGUCGCACCUUCCAACGAACGAUGGUCUCCGAGGUGUUGGUCGAUGCCAGUCGACUCUACCCGAUGACUGUUCCCAAAACGGAAAAUCCGAGUAAUCUCUCUGAAACGAAACGCGUAGACCUGUAUCAGUCUCCCCCUCGCCGGGCGGUCUGAUCGCGAUGCAUUAUCUAUCUCGAAAUACUAAUACUAAAGCCCAAAAUAAUCUACCACCAUUCGUUUGUCGGUGUCUGUUCCCCUACUCACUCUCUCUUUCUUGUUUCCUGCUCUAAAUACGCGCGCGAUCCUCUUGUCUUCUCCGCGAACGACAAAAAUAAUAAUCGUCGCCUCGGGGUUGCUCCGAAGCGCCAACGAUUAAUGUUGAAGUCGUCUCCGAUAAUUAUUAUCCCUUACCACUAUUUACUAUUCAUUUAUCACUAUUAAAUAUUAAUAAAGAAAAAGAAGUGCUGUUAACCUGCUGUGUGGUCGCGACGACGGGGAGGGGGCGGAGCGAUCAACAAUUCUUGAUCCUCGUACCCCGAGGUCGCUUCGUAUAUUCGCAUCGUUUGCUAUUGUUAAGUUUCACGCGUGACGAUCCACGAAAUCGUCCGCGAAUGUAUAUAUAUAUAUAUAUAUUUAUAUUUAUAUAUAUGCUUACAGUGUAGAGGAUCGUGUAGAUCGAUAACGAAACGAACCGAUCGCGUCGGCGUCGAUCCCUUCAGCGUGAUUCAUGUGAUUUCCGUUUUAAUGUGUUAUCAGCUGACGUCGGUGCGGUGAACACACCCCUUUCUGAUAUUUUAUUUCCUCGUCGUUGAACGACGAUGUGUAUCUGUUCUGCGUGUAUCGAUGUGCGCGUUUGUAUUUUUACAUAUGCAACGAAUUUUUCUUUCUCCAUUGUUCGACUGUGCCCGCAAACAGGAUUUCUUGUUGCGCUGCCCUGUCUACUCGAGCGACGAUACAAGACGGCGAUGUUUUUUGCUGUGUAGACGUUCGACGACGGUAAAGCAUUCGAAAAGCAAAACUGAGAAUUACUUUUGGGAAUCUCCACGUGCGGAGGGGGACUCCUACAAUUUUUCCAAGUUUCUCGUCGGAAAUUGUGUGCGUGUGUGUGCGAAACUUUAUUUUUUCGUUCUCGUCUGUCCUCUGAGAGUGUAUAUACGCGCAUGUGUGUGUGUGCGUGAGCGUUUUUCUUCAUUUUUUUUUCUUUUAUCGUUUCAAUUAAUCGUUUGCUAUCUUCGCCAACGUUCGCGUCGAGCGGAUAUGCUGAUCCUAACCGUGGCUGAUCGAACUGUAAGAGAGAUGUCUCUGACCGGAUCAUCUGCGAUCGUGUUGCGGAAAUGGAAGAUUUUUUUUCGUUUUGUCUAGGACCGCCUCGUCGUGAGGCGGACGCUUGGAUCUGUGUCUUUCUCGUCUUGGAGUCGUUUUCCCUUUUACUUUCUCCUUUUGCCAUUAUUUCUUUUUUUUUCUCAUUUUUUUUUGGGGGGAGGUUUAUAAUUUUUUUUUUGGUUUUCCAUCGAAAGUUUUGCCGCGAAUCGCGUAGCUGUUACGCGUUAGACGCGUGGAUUGUUCCACUUGAAUUUCGGCGAUUUCUUUUGUGGUUUUGUGUUGCAUCCUGCGCGCUCUUCUUUCUUACCGCGACACGUGGCACUGGGAUCUCGUCCUCUCGUCCACCGCAACGGUCUCUCCGCGUGAGUUUUGGUUGCUGUCGUUGCUGUUGUCUCGGUGCGCGAAAAUUUCAACCUCAUCGGAAGGGGAUCAUCGUUUCUUCUUCUUUGGCGAGAAGAGCGUUAUGAAAUAUCUUACCGUAAAAAACGUACAAAAGAUCUCGCUAUCUUAUAUAAACGGUUGGUAAGAACGUGAUAAAAAAGGUCGAUAGAGCUUAACAGUCGUCGGGAGAUACGUCGACGAUAUUGGACGUUCGUAGAAAAAGAAGCCUUUUUUUUUUGUUCCUUUCGUCGAGGCUUGCACGCUUUUCGUUGCUUCGAUAAGAAAGAUUGGUUUUCGUUCCCUUUGUCGACGGUGUCUUUUUCUUUUUUUUUUCUUUUUCAACGUUUUGGUUCCUCUUUUGAAAUCCGAUGCUCGAUACGAUCUUAUCAUUUUUUUUUUGUGGUCACUCUCUCACUCUCUCUCCUCGUUCCGCGGGAUACAUGCAUAAUCUUAAAACUUAAGCGCCGAGCUUACUUUAAUUUUCCUCAAUUCUAAUCGAUAAGCACGAUCUUAUUUUUUUUUUUUUUCUUUACUUCUCUCACGGUAAAAUAUUCUAGAAUACUAACAUUUAGAUUUAGCGAUAAAUCGAUUUUGUACAUUCGUUUUUUGUUGGUAUUCCUUAUCCAAGUAGAUUAAGUUACUCCUCACCGUCUUAAUUCGCGCGCAUAAUAAUUUAUAACGUUAAAAAUCUUCAUCUCUUUCAUUUAAGUUAAUCGUUAUUAUAUUAAUAAUUUCUAUUUAAUCUUUUCAUUUUUUCAUUUUUUUGUUACCUUGUUUGAUUUGUACAUUCUCCCGUGCGUGCGAGCGAGCUUGCCACAGUCUCCUCCGAAAUCUCUUCAAUCUUUUUCCAUUCUCUCCAUUCUCGGCGUUUAGAAGUGCUGGUGCCGAGGAAUUAGCCAAAAAAGGUAGUUCUUGCCUCGUUUUCCUUUUCUUUUCCACGUUUGCGUUCUGACAGGGUUGUAAACGUUGCCUUUUUUCUACGUUUCCGUUUGUUUCCGCCUUUUUUUUUUUUUUGUCUUCUUUUCUGUUGCGUUUAGCUUUCGCUGACUGAACGUAUAUUUUUGUUCCUCGUUUCCAUUUAAUCUUCAUCGGCGAUGGAGCGCAAGAACUGACUGUGAGCGAGCCUUGAAGUCUUGGGGGGUGUCUUCCUUUUCUUUCUUCCUGUACUACUGAGACUCCGGAUUUCAUUUUUCUUCCGCUUCUUAUCUUCUUAUCGUUGAAAUUUCGUUCCAAGAAUUGGCGCAACGAAAAAAAUGAAUCAAAGAUCGAUGAACGAGCGAAAGGUGUGAAAAGAUUCACGGUGCGGGGCAGAUUACGGAUCGCGAACUUUUUAAUUACCUCCGUGCAUUUUUUUUUUUUUUUAGAUUUUUUACGUUGUUUUUUUUUUUCCUUCUUUAGACAAAUAUAAAGAGAUAUUCCGAAAAGGGGGGAGGGGUGGCGAUGAUUUUCGCUGUUGGAUGGAUGUCUCCCACAACGAAAUUCUGUGGAAAGAGCGACUGUAUUUCGUACUCGCGACGUGCGUCUCUGUUUUCCGUAAUUCCUUCGUUCCCUCUGGGCGUUUGUCUGUUGUUUUUUUUUUUUCUUCUGGACUUGUUUCGGCCGAAAAAAACAAUUUGUUCGAACGCGGUUGCGCGCAUCGUUUCAGGAAAAAGGAGCGUCGAGUGAUAUUCUCGAAGUAGCGUAAAUGAUUUAUCUCGUAGCGGUGAAGGCGAAUGUUCUUUUGCUGUUGUUGUUGUAGCGGUGAUAUAUAGAUGUUUCUCCGCGCGAUCUUGAUCUUUCUGUGGGUGUUGUGCAGUGCGGUGUUCCUUUUGUUGUUCUAUGGGUUUUGCUUCUACGAUUAACUGAUUUGUUUGCUGAAUUCUUUUCUACGUAUGCAUACUGUUUUUGUUCCUUGGCACUUUCAUCGUUUUCUUCGUUUCUACGAAUGUUAUUCAUCCUUUCGUUAUUACUUUUUUUUUUUUUUUUCAUUAAAUAUUUACGCUCGAUAAAUAAACACGGAAGCGAGGGCCUGCGGGCGAGGAAGGCUUUCCCAGGCGGCGACAUCGACGAAAAAUCGCGUCGCAUAAAACUGCGAGCCCGAUCGUCCUGUCGCCAGCCGUCGCAGUGACGUCCGCGCCGAGCGGACCCGGGCGCCCCCGUUUUCCUCCAAAUAUAUUAAAUAUAUUAUACAAUUUAUCCGACUAAAAUCUCCUUUAUUCCCCCCUGGCGAGCGACAGACGCGCACAGCGCAAAAAGCUGCGCGCCGUCCUCUUUAAAUUCUUCCACCACAUCCACUUCCCAUCAUUUUUUUUAUUUUAUUUUUAUUAUUAUUAUUUUUUUUUUUUUAAAUCGUUACUCUUUAAAUUAUUUACUCUUUCCUCGUUUCAUCUUUUUUUGUUUUUUUUUUUACGAAAAACACUUCGCUCUCGCUUCUCCGCUUCUUCCUUCGCGAUUCUCUUUAUCUCUUAUCUCUAUUAAAAAACUUGUUUUCGCCUUCGCAUCCUCGCGCCACGCUUUCAAUAUCGUUAAAAUUCAUUAAGUUAUUAAAAACAUCUAACAAAAAAAUUGAAAAAGAAAGAUUCACUUAGAUCUCCCCAACAAUGUAUCAAAAAUAAACUUAUACUCUUAGAUUCAUUUUCUUUUCUCAUCUUUCCCCAUCCCAUUUUUAUACUCUCGCGUCGUUAUUCUCUCUCGUCUAUUCCAUUCCACGCUCUCUCUAUUUCUCUCUUUAAAAAUCGUCUUUUGUUUCGUUUUUUGCUUCGAAUCUGGUGUUUCACUUUCCCUCCACGUUUCUUGCUAGCUUGCACUUCCUUCGUUUCCCAUUUAUCAUGACUUCGUUCCAUGCACUCCUCGAGUGCGCAGCGAAAAAACGCGAGCAAGGCAAAAGCAACUCUGCCUUUUUUGUUCACCUCCGAGUAUCUUUCCCGAUAUCAGUCACCGGGUACGAUAUUCGUGCACUCUCGGAAGUUUCUCGCUUUUCAAUCUCUCCCUUUAUCUCUCUCUCUAUUCUUCCUCGAUAAACAAAAAACUGUAACACGCGAUAUAUCUUUCCCUCCUGUUUCUACACGGUUCACUCGCAAAACUGGAUUAAUUCAUUCCCACCCGCUUUCUAAACUCGUGUAUUUUUGUACUAAACGCAUACCGAAUGCCGUGAAUUGAACCGACGCUCGACGAUCCUCCGUGAACCGGAAGCGAUCGUCGCGCGCGUCGGACGCAAAACCCCAAACAAGGGAUUCAGCGUUCUAAGUUGAGCGUCGAAGACGCGCCACGUUCGUUUGCGAAAUUAACCACAAUUGGAUCGUCGACGAUGGACCAAUGUUAGAAUGUAAAUACGAAAGUACCACCCUCUAUUGCACGGAUGGUAUUUAUAUGAUCGUGAACGAAUGUGCUAGUCUGCAGGACUAUCAAACAUCGUGAACAUCAAUAGAGGGUUAACGUUAAAUUCCACGCGUUUGCCUAAUUGCUUCGAAACAAAGCAGUCGAUUUUGCAAAGAACGUGGCGGGCGAUCGCGCGUCUCGUCAGUCCGUUAAUUUUAUCUUCUUUUUGGUCGCAUUGAUAGAUCACCGAACAGGACCUCGCCUGUCCGGUUGGUUUCAUCGACUUCCCCCAAGUCCCAUAAUCGUGUAAAGUCCUUCUCUCUACUCUAGUCCCGAGCCAUUAGUUUCCAUUUUUUCCUCUUAAAUAUCUCUUACGCGAUCGAUCUUUCCGUUUACGAUUGAAAACGCUUUCCUGCCCAUACGUUGCACGCGCGAACUAUCCGUAUCCUCGUACUUUGUAGGUUUCCUAGAUCAGAACUUAAAGAAUUACGUAGUCGUGCGCAAUCGGUCACGAGUUUUCCGCGUUUUUUUUGUUUUCUUUUCUUUUUUUAAAUGAUCAAUUCCUCGAAUACUCGUCGCGUGGGAAUGAUCGUGAUCGAUUGGCCGUGCCUGGAGCCGCGGUAUCGCUGCGAGUGUUUUUGGAAUUCGUGGACGCGCGGAUUUAACUACCCUAAGCGGCUUGGGCGGUACCAACGACUUUCAAUUGCGUGACAGCUUGGUCAAAGUAAUAAAAGGUAUGGGGAAGCGUACCAAUAUGGAAGCAUACCUGGUCGAUCGCUCCUCGAUUCGACGAAACAGUCUGUGUUCAUCGCUUCGCUGUUUCUCAUUGAGAUGCUUAACUUGACUAAACGGUUUGGUUGUCUGAAAGUCGUCGGUACGUUCUCAAUUUCUCGCAACUAUUAUCUUAUACAAUAAUUUGAAAGGAACUCGCUGGCGAUACGCAUGCUCGCGCACCACGAGGCGAAGAGCGGCACACGAUCGUCACGAGAUACACACACCGUAUACUCGUCAAAGUAUCGCUCUUCCCCUCCCAAUACUUAAUUACUCCCGUGUUCCUUUCCUCGAUUAAGCCUAAAUCUCUAAAUCAUCUGUCUCUAUCUCGCGCUUCCCUUUGCCGUAUAUACGCCCUAAUCAGUAAUUAAUCACUUAUCAAUUAAUAGUAUUAUUCAACACACGCACACUCACACACUAUUACAUCCAUGGUAAAGUAAAAAUCCCUGAAAAAGUUUUGUGGCCUUGCUUCCAUUUCCAUUCCUUUUUCUUCCCCCCUUUCUAUACGUCUCUCUUGUCCACUCUCUUCGCUCUAGCGGUUCGCUAACUUCCUCGUGCGUGCCAACGGUCGCUUUUUCAUUCUCUCUCGAACAUCCUUCUCGUAGCACGAAACAACAGCGCGGCCGUCUCGAAUGCUUAUUCUGUAUUCCUCGAACGUCCGAUUCCCUUCCACUUUCUCUUCUACUCACUUCCGCUCUUUCUCUCUAUCCAAUCACUAUCUUUUUUUCGUCAAAGCGACCCGAUGACGUUCUUUCGUCGGUUUCCUUCCUUCCGGGGCGUGUGUCCGACGUCGAUAACCACUCGUCGAUUCUUCCCCGCAGACGCGUGCGUCCUCUGACCCCUCUCACUGUUGGCUCUUGCAAGGAACUUGAGGCGAGUGCAGCGUGUCACGCAUUUUGUCACUUCACUAAUACGAAAAAAACUUCAUAAUCGCUUCUUUGGUAUUACGGCGCGAGAGGGGCUCAGAGCGGGACCGCGGGGGGCCGAGAGGCGUCAGAAAUAUCCUGGCUUACGUCUAAACUGUAGAACGUGUCACGUUUUCGCUCACAUUCUUUCGAUUAAGUCUCGUUUAUAUUUCAUUUUGCUUGCGCGUGUGUAUUUUCCUCUAUCUUCGUUUGUUUAAAUUGUCUCUGUGCUGUGUGAUAUAAAAAGACUGUACCUAGAGUAAGUAGUUCCUUUCAUUUUCCCUUUUUAAAAAAAAAAAAAAAAAAAACGAAAAAAAAAAGAAAA